AUUGAACGCUGGCGGCAGGCCUAACACAUGCAAGUCGAGCGGUUGACGGGAGCUUGCUCCCUGAUUCAGCGGCGGGCGGGUGAGUAAUGCCUAGGAAUCUGCCUAUUAGUGGGGGACAACGUUUCGAAAGGAACGCUAAUACCGCAUACGUCCUACGGGAGAAAGCAGGGGACCUUCGGGCCUUGCGCUAAUAGAUGAGCCUAGGUCAGACUAGCUUGUUGGUGAGGUACUGGCUCACCAAGGCGACGAUCCGUAACUGGUCUGAGUGGAUGAGCGGUCACACUGGAACUGAGACACGGUCCAGACUCCUAAGGGAGGCAGCAGUGGGGAAUAUUGGACAAUGGGCGAAAGCCUGAUCCAGCCAUGCCGCGUGUGUGAAGAAGGUCUUCGGAUUGUAAAGCACUUUAAGUUGGGAGGAAGGGUUGUAGAUUAAUACUCUGCAAUUUUGACGUUACCGACAGAAUAAGCACCGGCUAACUCUGUGCCAGCCGCCGCGGUAA
rnacentral:rRNA from 1 species